rnacentral:rRNA from 1 species
AUUGAACGCUGGCGGCAUGCCUUACACAUGCAAGUCGAACGGCAUCGCGGGAAAGCUUGCUUUCCUGGCGGCGAGUGGCGAACGGGUGAGUAACACAUCGGAACGUACCGGCUAGUGGGGGAUAACCCGUCGAAAGACGGGCUAAUACCGCAUACGCUCUUCGGAGGAAAGCAGGGGACCUUUGGGCCUUGCGCUAGUCGAGCGGCCGAUGUCCGAUUAGCUAGUUGGUGGGGUAAAGGCCUACCAAGGCGACGAUCGGUAGCGGGUCUGAGAGGACGAUCCGCCACACUGGGACUGAGACACGGCCCAGACUCCUACGGGAGGCAGCAGUGGGGAAUCUUGGACAAUGGGGGCAACCCUGAUCCAGCAAUGCCGCGUGGGUGAAGAAGGCCUUCGGGUUGUAAAGCCCUUUCGGCAGGGAAGAAAUCGGCGGGGCGAAUAACCCUGCUGGAUGACGGUACCUGCAGAAGAAGCACCGGCUAACUACGU